rnacentral:rRNA from 1 species
CCUACGGGCGGCAGCAGUGAGGAAUAUUGGUCAAUGGGCGCGAGCCUGAACCAGCCAAGUCGCGUGAGGGAGGACGGCCCUACGGGUUGUAAACCUCUUUUGCCGGGGAGCAACGGGCGUCACGUGUGGCGCCACUGAGAGUACCCGGAGAAAAAGCAUCGGCUAACUCCGUGCCAGCAGCCGCGGUAAUACGGAGGAUGCGAGCGUUAUCCGGAAUGACUGGGCGUAAAGGGUGCGUAGGUGGUUUGGGAAGUUAGUAGCGUAAUUCCGGGGCUCAACUUCGGAACUACUACUAAAACUGGUGGGCUUGAGUGCAGGAGGGGCAUAUGGAAUUCCUAGUGUAGCGGUGGAAUGCGUAGAUAUUAGGAGGAACACCAGUGGCGAAGGCGAUAUGCUGGACUGUAACUGACACUGAGGCACGAAAGCGUGGGGAGCAAACAGGAUUAGAUACCCGUGUAGUCC